UGCCGCUCGAGUCCUGGCCGAAGUGUGCUGUUCAGUGCGCAUUUAGUUCAGAGAGGGGAGCGCAGUGUCCUGAAGUCCACUUCAGUCGAGCCACAGGUCAGCGAUGUCCCGCGCCCCGCUGGCCGCGGUGCUGGCCGUCUGUCUGCUGGCCUGCUCUGCGGACGGCAGCGAGCCCUGCACAGCCGUCUCCUGCCCGCCGGGCCAGUUCUGUUUCCGCGGCUCGUGUGUGCCGCUAAUGGUGCACGGCCGCUCCAAGCCCCACCCACACCACAGCGGAGCCGGCCCGGCCGCCGCCGCCGCGCCCACACUGCCCCUGCUGCCGCUGCUGGCCGCCACGCUGCUGGGACGACACCGGGUCUGAGACAGGGUCUGAGACUGGGUCUGAGACAGGGCCUGAGACAGGGUCUGAGGCAGGGUCUGAGGCAUGGGGUCUGUCGGAUGGGCUGAGCUGGACCGGGUCCACCUGCUGUAGGCCGCGACCGGGUCUGAGGCAGGGUCUGAGAUAGGGUCUGAGGCGGGGUCUUACGACUGCGCUGAGAUCAGAGCAGGAUGGGCCGUGGGACAAGACAUAUUCGGCUGGCUGAGCUAAGACCGGACAGGCCGACUGGGUUUGCAAGCUGGACAUUGGAUACUGCACGCCGGUCUGAGAUUGUGACCGGGUCGGUCGGAUGAGCUGAGGGCAAUGACAGUCGACCGACUGGACUACGGACUGGAACCGGGUCUGCCGGCUGCACUGAGGAUUGGAACCGGGUCUACAAUAUGGGCGGCUGAGGACUGGAAAUGGGUCAGCCAGCUGGGCUGAGGACUGGGAAUGGGUCAGCCGGCUGGGCUGAGGGGUCCUCCGUGAUGGCCAGAGGUGGAGGCAAAUGCGGCCUGUGCUCAGAGACAUUGUAAACUGUACCUGUUAUGUCAGAUGUCGGUAUGUGAGAUCGUCUGUGAUGAUUACAAAGUAGCUGUGGUCGUGACUAAUGCUCUUCUUGAGCGGUGUUU